ensembl:lncRNA
GACAAAUUUUCAGUUUUAGAACUGACAGCAUAUUUUUAUAGUACAAUGACCUCUUAUAUGUCAAAAGAUCAAUAGAAUUUUUGGUUUCUCAUGUAUGAUAGACAAACUCUCUUUAAUCCAUAUUUUCCAUGAGUUGUUAAGGGGUGCGUCCAUUUAAAAGUUCCUUGCAGGUCCCUUAUUUGAGCUGGAUGGCACGUGCGUAUCGCCUCUCCAGGAGGUGGGCAUGCCACCAUGCUCGUGUGGUCCCAGCCCCCACAUCAGAGCACAGGAACUCCCACAUCCGCUCUACCCAUCGCCCCCUCCAUCACGCUAUUUUAAGAACCAAGACCGAGGGGAGUUGAAUUACGCCCAUACGUCUAUAAUCACUUCCAUCAGCCCUCCUGUUUAGAGGAUGGUUUUCAUCUUUAAAACAUUCCCUAGUUACCAGCCAAAGUUUUCGACAGAGCAAUAGACCAGCUGAGCUGAGUCAGAGCUUGAGUCACUGUCAUGGGUUGAUGCCAUUGCAGAGGUGUUGUAGCUGAUUUCUAAAUGCUGCCAUUGUUCUGUCUUCAGCCAGGCAGCAAGGCGGCCCUAUUGUUGUGUGUUAUUGUUGUGGAAAGUAACAUUCCCUCCUCAGAAGAGAAUGACUGCAGGAUCUCCAUCCCAACCUCUUCCUGCUUGUCAUAAGUGUUUUUUAUGAAUUUUUUCAUGUUAUGUCCUGAUGUCCCGUUGCUUGUUGCCAUUUUUCUCUUGAUCUUGCAAAGUUAGGUUAAGUUUGAUUCACUUUAUUGGAUCUUUGCAUGCUAGUGCACACGAGAAAAACAGAAUGUUUCGUUUAAAUUGACAGCAUUUCUUCUUCUGAAAAUGUGUGUCACAACAGAAAAGCUACUCCAUUACAAGUCUGCAGUUACAGCAGCCUGUCAGUGUGCCUCAGGAUCUACUCCUUAUGCCAGCCACAGCAUGUUUUUGUGGUUUAGACAAAGGAAGGAAAGACAGGGUGAGAAGGGCUCAAAUCCGAGUUUGUGUACAUUUAGAGAGUUGCUGUCUAGUGUAAAGGGAAGCCGGAGUGGUGUGUGAUGUGGUUAGCCGCCUGCACAUGGAGCCUAUCUUUUGUCCACUGGCUGAUGAGAUCAGAGCAGCACUAGCCGGAAACGGGCCUGUCCCGCUUUGCCUGCCACAAAGGGGCUUUGAAUUCCGCGGUUAUCUGCUCCAGUUGGCCUGCUGUGAGCCUGUCAAACAGCUACAUUAUGAGCCUGCAGUCUCUGCUCUACUGCGAACAAUUCCCAUUAGCUAUGAUAGAGUGCCCACUAUCUGCG